UCCGGUUUGGCACCGGCAGUCUUCCUAGAGUCCCCGCCAUUACGCGCUGGCAACUAAGAACAGGGGUUGCGCUCGUUGCGGGACUUAACCCAACAUCUCACGACACGAGCUGACGACAACCAUGCAGCACCUGAACCACCGGCCCCUUGCGGGGAGACCCUAUUUCUAGGGGUGUCCGAUGUUGUCUAGCCCAGGUAAGGUUCUUCGCGUUGCGUCGAAUUAAACCACAUGCUCCACCGCUUGUGCAGGCCCCCGUCAAUUUCUUUGAGUUUUAACCUUGCGGCCGUACUCCCCAGGCGGAUGACUUAAUGCGUUAGCUGCGCCACCAAAACCCCAUGGGCCCUGACAGCUAGUCAUCAUCGUUUACGGCGUGGACUAC
rnacentral:misc_RNA from 1 species